UUUUGCGCUUGCUUGCGUUGCUUAUGCCUUUAUACUUUCCAAUUCCUUACCCCGUGCACUGCUCCUGUAUGUAGUUGGACGUUGUUUCGUUGUUGCUAAAGUAAUCACACUUCACCGUACCCCCCCGACUCCCCACCUUCCCUCGUCCUCUCCCCUUCAAAGAAAAUGACGUCACCAGCCAAAAAAAAAAAAAUCAAAACAGAAGAAAAAAAAAUCCUUGAAUCCACGGAACCUUAAAACCGCCCUUGUUGCACUCACCGCUUUGUUCACUGAUAUCAGUUGUUCACUUUCGUAACGUAGAGCGCACUGUUCACCGUAAUUCGCAAGUCUUCGUAUCUCUCUGUUUCUCUGCCUAUCUCUCUUAGUCUCGUACUUUAGCAUUGAACUCACUUAGUGUACCUUUCGUCUUGGACUCUCCAACCCCUUUUAGACUGUCUCUCCGUGUGUCCAUGUUUAAGGGCCGAUGUUGUACUCCUGUUACCUUAAUGUUUGAAACUGAUGUAGAACAUAGAGUCAAAAAAGUGAAAUUAAUAUCCAGACCUGACGUGGGAAUAAAAAUAUUUUUAGAAUGUUCUUUCUUGGACAAGGGGAAAGCUGUGACCUUUCGCCCUCUCUCGUCCUUGACCUUGUGUGUCUAAAGUCUCUCUUGAACAUAAUUCGAGGUCCGGAAAGGAACUAAAACUCAAGAAAGUCUCAUGUUCCUUCUAGGUGUCUCGGACCAACCAUACAUGUAAGGAUUUGUCCUUCUUUUAUACCUUUUUGUCAUAGAUCUAAGAGAGACAAGAACAAAAUAGAAAGUCACUUUUACCAAAUGAAAAUCAAAAAUAGAUAGAUAGAUAGAUGUAUAAAUAAUUUAUAAUGAUCUUUAGAUCUUUAUAAUCAAAGCUAUACCACGUACAGGUCUUUUUUUUUUUUUUUUUUUUUUUUUUUGGCUCUAACUGUAGAGGUAAACAUAUGCUAAUUUUUAGUCCUGGAGGCCAUCGUCCGCUUUGGCCUCCAUCAAGGACAUAAGACUACAUUGUUUAUCACUUUGUCUAGCAUAAGUUUCAGGAGUUAAGGCUGAUCAAGCGUGUGCCCUUCGACACAAUAUGUUUUUGUUUUUGUUUUUCUAAAUAUAUAUUUUUUUCUCUCGAGAGAGGGUGCCAAGCGGUGCCGCACAUCUCCCACAGUCUCCCAGGUUCUGAUACCUAUUGUGAUAACCAAGCGUUGACGAAACGUAGUGCACAGGCCUCACUUUGUUGAAGGAACAGACGAACGGCUCGGUGUAGAUUAGUGAGCGGUGCGCUGGCCAGAAGCUGUUCAUAUUUUUCGCUGGCCGGCGUCCGUCGUUGUUGUUUAUUCUCUUACUCUCUCUCUCUCUUCCUUUUCCCGUUUCUUUUUUAAUCACAUAUCUUUUGUAGAGUGGCUGUUCUGCCCUCGCGCCUAGUGUAAUGCCAACUGUUACUAAUGAUUAAGAAGUUGAAUCUGUUUUGUUAUAUGGAUUUACUAUAUAAGUUUGUUUUUUGAACCUGUAGAUCCUUAUUAUCUAUUCAAUGGUUCAAGUGUGGCUUAGUCUAUUUAAUCUUGUAAUGAUAGUAUUGUUAUUAUUCUAGACCGCCCGUAUUUCCUAAGCCUAUUUCUGAAUACUCUCAAUACUCACAAAUACACAACAUAGCCUGUAGUUAGUAAGAAACCUACUUAGAUAUCAUUUCAAGAACGCCACUGACUGUCCAACUACCUGUUCCCGCUUCCCAUGACGUCAGUGAUAUCUCGUCCAAUCACUUAUCCCAUCUCCCAUGACGUCAGCAAUCUCUCGUCCAAUCACUUGUCCCAUCUCCCAUGACGUCAGCAAUCUCUCGUCCAAUCACUAGUCCCAACUUCCCCCAUGACGUCUAUAAUACUCUCGUCCAAUAAACAUGCCCCGCUUGUUACGACGUCUGCGGCAUGUUUAACCCAUCCAGGAGGAGUUUUUUUCUUUGCACAUAUCACACACACACACUAACCGGAACGGAGAUCCUAUGGGGCUGCCGACGAAUUCCUUUGACCGGCUCAAACAAGACGUGGUGUACUCCUUUUCUCUUCACGCUGUAGCCGCUAGAUUACCAACAGAGGUGAGAAGAAAAGGAAUGCAAAACAUGUGGCUGUCGGAUUUUACUUUUCCCCAUAUACAUGUCGUCCACACACAAGAGGACAGUAUUUGCGGCGGCUUCGGUACAGCCGGGUGCUGGACGGGGGCCAGCGCUAGUAUAUUGCCACUAUAAUAAUGAUAUAAAAAAAAGUUAUUGGAAAAAAAGUGAAAAAAAAAGAAAAAAAAAGUGGUUCAGUGUCUACGAGUGUUUCAAGACAACUGCAAGCACCGUCGGAAGAAGAUCAACAGCAUCAAGAAUGAAAAUCCUGAAACAAAAAAAAAAAUCAAGUUUUAAAAAUGAAAAUAAUGAAAGGAAGAAUAUAAAAAAAAGUGGCAAUAUAUGAGUGGACGGAAAAAGUGUGUAAUCGAAAAAAAAAGAAAAAAAGUCUGACAUACGUGAUGCAAGUAUGUCUGUGAAAAGAAUAAAAUAAUAAUAAUAAUCACGUAAAUACCAGGAAACACACGAAGCUAAAAUUUUAAUAAUAUAUAUAGAUAUUAAUACUGAUAAAACGGGGCUGAAAAAAACAACAACCUAAAGCGAAACCAAAAGGCGGUAAACGAAAAAAAAAAAAAAAACGCAUAAUAAAACAAAUAAAAACAAAACACGAGAGCGCGCGCGCACACACACGCACGAUCACGCACACACGCAAACCCCAACGAAACCCGACGCACGUCCUUCCCUGGCAACGAAUAUACACAAAGCCACGGGAAACUUGCGCCACGAGAGACCAGAGGAGAAGGAGGAGGAAGAGCCGUUAUUCCUGCAAUCCCUGCAUCCUGCACGCUGAAUCCCACAGUGCAGUUGAUGCAGCAUCUCCCUACAUCAUCUUUCCUGCCGAGGCUGAUGCUGGGACGCCCCCUGUUCCUUCGGCACAAACUCCUUCGGCAUCCUGGAAACAGCGGCCGAGCGGAUGUCCUGCACCAGCGGACACAACGACUGGACUCUCAAGGUACGCGGAAGUGACGUCAUGCUUCGAGCGUAGGCCUACCUGAGCAGCCGGAACCCUCGUGCUGUGUCAAUCAGCUGUCGAGUUGCUUUGCAUCGCCGUCGUUGAAAGCAGAAAUCGCCGCUGUUUGGCGAGCAAGGGAGUCAGAAGUGCUGAAUAGUAGUACGCGUGUAGGCAGGCAGGCAGGCAGGCAGGCAGGCAGGGUGCCGUCUGGAGCACCUCUCUCCCCCACUCUCCCCCCCCUCCUCCUGCGUCAGCCGCUACAGUACCCUCCGGUCAUUCACCGGGAGACCAGUCUGAAGGAGAAGGACAUCAGCUCUCCGCACUUUGGGAGGAAGCACGCAACGCCAUCUAGGCAGGACAUUCGUAGGGAGGAAGGACGGGACGCCCUUGGCUUUCUGUCUGCCGAGCUUAUCAAACACGGGUGGAAUUGGACACAGCGCCGUCUGCGCGACCACGCAUUUUAGAAGAGUUACUCCGGGAAGAAAACGGGACUUAAUGUGAGAUGAGAGAAAAAGGGAACGUCUUUUCGAGCAUAGACAAUAAUAUUGUAUAGACAUUUUUUGAUGUCAGUAGUUCGAGGACGAGUAACGGGACAACUUUGAUUUAAAAAAUAAACAAAUAAACUCGGGAUAGAUGAUGUAUUGGGCGAGAACAAGGAGUGAUGAAGACCGUGAUUUUUCUUAUUCUUAUCAAAGAAUUGUUAUAUUAAUUCUAGUGUGUAAAUAUUCUCAACAAAAGAUUUGCUUGUGGCAAUGUUUGAUAGGAUGGUUAGUUUUAAUGGUUAUUGAAACUAUUUCAUAUUUUGUUUUACUUUCCCUCAUUUCAUACGAUAGACACAAGGAAAUUAUACUGUACAGUGAUUAUAAAAAAUGGUUACAAAUACGAGGUUAGAUUUUGAAUAUUUCGUUUUCCUUUGCUGGAUCUUGAGAGCUUUUCCUUGGCGACAUAAAACAGCCAAAGAUUUGAUGUGUUGCCCGAGAAGCAGACGUGUAAAAAGGCAAAAAUACAACACCGUGAUGGUGACUCUUUUUAAUGUAUUGUACAUAUCUAGCGACAGCGUGUAAACCUGGCGAUUUUUUUCCCCGAAACAGAUAAUCCUUUUUUAAAAAUACUGUAGGUAACGUUUCAAAUAGGUGCUAUUGUUUAUUUUGUAUGCAGUGAGAGGGAACUUGAAUGAACCAACCCGCUGAAGAUAAAAGUAAAACUGCUACACCAGAUUCUGUCUUUUUAUAUAAUGUAUACUGAAUUGUAUUUAUAUACUCCACUUGUAUUAUGGUUACACGAGAUUGUCAUUAUGCAAUGAUCUACUCCAGCUAAUUGGCUUUGACACACCAGAUCCACCCUCCGUCCAGCUUUGAGCAUUGUCAGCGCAAUGUUUUCCAGGUUAUUGCAUUUGUCAUUGUUGGAACUAUGACGUCAUGUAUAGGAUCAAAUCAGUUGUGACGUCACCCUUAGUUAGUGACGUCACUCUCCUGCAGCGCUGCCAGACAGAAGCAUGGACAGAGGUGUGCGACAUCCUUCACUCUGAAAGAUUUAUAGUAUUAUAUUAAGCUUUUUCAAACGCACCUCGAGUGUCUAUAGGUUUUCCAGACGCUCUCCAUUGUUAAUGAGAAAAAUUAUAUAUAUAUACAUAUACAUAUAAAUAUAUAUAUACUUGUGAAAAUGACAAGAGGUUGCGUACUGAUGCAUGAGCCAUGACCGGUAGAGUAUGCCACAAAUACCAAUGCCGCAGUUGAGAAUAUAUUCCAGUUUCUCCCUCCAGUUUCAUGAUAUAACCAUUAUACUGAGAUUCGACGCAGUUAAAAGUCGUGUUAAAAUCA
rnacentral:misc_RNA from 1 species